GGUGAACGCUGGCGGCGUGCCUAAUACAUGCAAGUCGAACGAACAGACGAGGAGCUUGCUCCUCUGCCGUUAGCGGCGGACGGGUGAGUAACACGUGGAUAACCUACCUAUUAUACUGGGAUAACUUCGGGAAACCGGAUCUAAUACCGGCUCAUAUAUUGAACCGCAUGAUUCAAUAGUUAUUGACGGUUUUGCUGUCACUUAUAGAUGGUUCCGCGCUGCCUUAACUAGUUGGUAAGGUAACGGCUUACCAAGGCAACGAUGCGUAGCCGACCUGCUUGGGUGAUCGGCCACACUGGAACUGGGACACGGUCCAGACUCCUACGGGAGGCAGCAGUAGGGAAUCUUCCGCAAAGGGCGAAAGCCUGACGGAGCAACGCCGCGUGAGUGAUGAAGGUCUUCGGAUCGUAAAACUCUGUUAUUAGGGAAGAACAAAUGUGUAAGUAACUAUGCACGUCUUGACGGUACCUAAUCAGAAAGCCACGGCUAACUACGUG
rnacentral:rRNA from 1 species